UCCUUUGUUUUUUAGUGUUACACUUUUGAGUGUAAGUGUAAGAAAUUCUAUGGACAUUUGAGUGUAAAAUGACAGCGGAUGUGACAGCGGCUCAUGACAGCGGACAGUAUUAAACGAAAAUUAUCGGUGUGCCAAUCAAGCAAAGGGACAAGGAACUUCCGAAUAUGGCCUAACUGGGGGCACAUAACAUAACAUAACCUAAUCCUAAUAUUUACAUUUGUAAAGAAUAUCCUGUUUGUUUUUAUUGUCGAUUGUGCAGCGAAAUUGUGUGCAGCCAAUCAAAUAUAAAGUAGUUUAUCGCCUACAGAACUGAAUUAGUCCAUAGCAGUUAUCAGUUUUUCUUUCUUGGGAAGCUUAUACAUGUAACUUGUAUUGUUGUAAAUUGUGGGAGUAGGGCAGACAGGGAAAAGUCUUAUUUUGUACUGUUCCCAAGGCUCCCCAUGCAAUACAUUUAAAUGAAUUUUUCAAACAAAGCUGGGGACAAUGGAUAAAAGCCACAAGAAGAAGAGAUAUAAGGGAACUAAAAUUAAAAUAUGAAAAGUAAACAUUUUAUAAGUGGAACAACCACCAGAUAUUUAAAAGGUAUAAAAAGAAGAAACUGCUGGAAUUUCAAAACAAAUGUGUUUGACUAGUAAAGAUUUGGAUAAAUAACAGGAGUUACUUUGGGCUAUAGCUAAGUGCAGAUUUAUUUCCUUGUGGCUUCCUAUGUUAAUUCUUAUUAAUUAUACACUUAAAUAUGUUUUUAGUCUCAGGAAGAUUUUAUAUUUGAUUAUUUUUGAAUAAACAUUAUUAUUAUUACCUUAAUUUCCAUUAAAUAAAUUAACUGUAAUCAAUAAAGUAAUCGUUUAAUUGUUAAUAAAUUAUCAAGUAUGA